rnacentral:misc_RNA from 1 species
CCAAACUUGGUCAUUUAGAGGGAAGUAAAAGUCGUAACAAGGUUUCCGUAGGUGAACCUGCGGAAGGAUCAUUACCGAGUUAGGGUGUCGCCCCGGCGCGCCCGACCUCCCAACCCUUUGUCUACCUUACCACACCGUUGCUUCGGCAGGCCGCGCCGACCCCCGGGGACCUCCCCGGGGCGAGGCCGUCGGGGGCCUCGCGCCCCGGGUCCGCGCCUGUCGACGGCCACUCUCAAACUCAUGUCUAAACGUGUCGUCUGAGUACCACAUUAAAUACAAACCAAAACUUUCAACAACGGAUCUCUUGGUUCUGGCAUCGAUGAAGAACGCAGC